AGCUCAACCAGGCAGAGCACCUGACUCUUAAUCAGUAGGUUGAAGGUUCGAUUCCUUCA
rnacentral:tRNA from 1 species